GCCUCAAUUGGUUGCUGUUAGAAAUGAGUCAUUAGUUGGUGAACUCAAAGACGCUUUGGCUAAUGCUGAGCACAGGCCUGAGAUCAUUCCUGGAGAGGAAGUUGUCAUAGAGGUUGCUCGCCACCCAGAUGUUGUCACAGUUGUCACAUGAAUAGUAGGCUGUGCAGGUUUGAAGCCUACCAUGGCUGCAAUAGAGGCAGGAAAAGACAUAGAAUUGGCGAAUAAAGAGACCCUGAUUGCUGGAGGUCCUUUUGUACUUCCUCUGGCGCACAAGUAAAAAGUAAAAAUACUUCCUGCAUAUUCAGAACAUUUUGCUAUAUUUCAGGUAUAUAAGCUUAUUGUUAGGAAGUCA